rnacentral:ncRNA from 2 species
UCGUAUAUCGCGCUGAAGGGUCGUUCAAUGUUUGAGCGUGAAAAGGGAAGUCGGUGAAAAUCCGACACGGUCCCGCCACUGUAAAUGGGAGAGGCUUGCAAGAUCCACUGUCUAGCGACGGGAAGGGGGCAAGUACUCGAUGAACAUAAGUCAGGAGACCUGCCUUUCAGUUUGAGUGUGU